rnacentral:lncRNA from 1 species
AUGACAAAAUGUCUCCCUCCUAAGUACUCCACUUCCUCUACCAUGAAAGAGUGGUAUCAACAACGAGGAAACAAGCAGAGAUGGAGUUUCACAGAGGGAAGAGACGAAAAAGGUUUAAUGUCAUACGAGCUUUGGGAGAACUUCCUUGGGAUAGUACGACCAGAAUGGCUGCUCUUGUCCCAAAUCCUGGCUACAGCUAAGAAGAGAAUCACACACAAAGGUAAAAAUCUAAAGUUUCUCCUCAGAUUCUCCAACAACCCCUUUUUUCUCCUCUUUCCUACCUGUGGGCUUCCCUUCUCUCCACACCCAGGUACCAGUGACUUCUGACUGCCAGCACCUCUGUCUACACACUCUUCUCUCCCUUUCUUCCUGUCUCUGCAUAUGAGAAAGUUGGUAUAAGGCAUAGGUAAGUGAAUUCACACCACUGGAUUAUAAACUAGCUCUUCACGGUGAUGUUUCCAGUAUCUACAGAGUAACAUCUGGCAUACGGUAGCCGCUCAACAAAUAUCUGCUGAGUGCAAGACAGAAAAAGUGUGAAUUUCUAAGAGAUUUGUCUACUCUUCAGGGUAUUCACAUAGAGGAAUAACAUAACUACCACCAGUUACUUGCAGCUUAGAAGUCACUUUUACACAUUCAAAGGACAGGAUCUGUGCAUUUUCCAACAGCUCCGUGGUCUAGUUGACGUGUUAUUGUACAGAAGAAACCUCACAAACGACACCAUUUGGGAAACUUUUUCCCUGCUUACACAUGAACCUAAUCCUGCAUACCCAAUCAUUCUCUCUUGCAAAUAGGCCCUUUUGCUCUUUCUUCACAUUCCCACUGAAGUUCUUUUUUUUUUUUUUUUAUUUUUUUUUUCAACGUUUUUUAUUUAUUUUUGGGACAGAGAGAGACAGAGCAUGAACGGGGGAGGGGCAGAGAGAGAGGGAGACACAGAAUCGGAAACAGGCUCCAGGCUCUGAGCCAUCAGCCCAGAGCCUGAUGUGGGGCUCGAACUCACAGACCGUGAGAUCGUGACCUGGCUGAAGUCGGACGCUUAACCGACUGCGCCACCCAGGCGCCCCCCACUGAAGUUCUUCAUGAAGGACAAGAAAAAGUAGGCCUUUCUUUUUCUUUUCUUUUCUUUUCUUUUCUUUUCUUUUCUUUUCUUUUCUUUCUUUUCUUUUCCAUUGUUUUCUUUUCUUUUCUUUCUUCCUUCUUUCUUUUCUUUUCUUUCUUUUCUUUUCUUUCUUUCUUUUUUUCUUUCUUUCUUUCUUUCUUUCUUUUCUUUCUCAAUAGACUGUUCUGGAAUGUUUGGGGAAAAUCUUGGCUUUACACAGCCACUCCCUGU